rnacentral:rRNA from 2 species
GCAGUCGAACGAACUCUGGUAUUGAUUGGUGCUUGCAUCAUGAUUUACAUUUGAGUGAGUGGCGAACUGGUGAGUAACACGUGGGAAACCUGCCCAGAAGCGGGGGAUAACACCUGGAAACAGAUGCUAAUACCGCAUAACAACUUGGACCGCAUGGUCCGAGUUUGAAAGAUGGCUUCGGCUAUCACUUUUGGAUGGUCCCGCGGCGUAUUAGCUAGAUGGUGAGGUAACGGCUCACCAUGGCAAUGAUACGUAGCCGACCUGAGAGGGUAAUCGGCCACAUUGGGACUGAGACACGGCCCAAACUCCUACGGGAGGCAGCAGUAGGGAAUCUUCCACAAUGGACGAAAGUCUGAUGGAGCAACGCCGCGUGAGUGAAGAAGGGUUUCGGCUCGUAAAACUCUGUUGUUAAAGAAGAACAUAUCUGAGAGUAACUGUUCAGGUAUUGACGGUAUUUAACCAGAAAGCCACGGCUAACUACGUGCCAGCAGCCGCGGUAAUACGUAGGUGGCAAGCGUUGUCCGGAUUUAUUGGGCGUAAAGCGAGCGCAGGCGGUUUUUUAAGUCUGAUGUGAAAGCCUUCGGCUCAACCGAAGAAGUGCAUCGGAAACUGGGAAACUUGAGUGCAGAAGAGGACAGUGGAACUCCAUGUGUAGCGGUGAAAUGCGUAGAUAUAUGGAAGAACACCAGUGGCGAAGGCGGCUGUCUGGUCUGUAACUGACGCUGAGGCUCGAAAGUAUGGGUAGCAAACAGGAUUAGAUACCCUGGUAGUCCAUACCGUAAACGAUGAAUGCUAAGUGUUGGAGGGUUUCCGCCCUUCAGUGCUGCAGCUAACGCAUUAAGCAUUCCGCCUGGGGAGUACGGCCGCAAGGCUGAAACUCAAAGGAAUUGACGGGGGCCCGCACAAGCGGUGGAGCAUGUGGUUUAAUUCGAAGCUACGCGAAGAACCUUACCAGGUCUUGACAUACUAUGCAAAUCUAAGAGAUUAGACGUUCCCUUCGGGGACAUGGAUACAGGUGGUGCAUGGUUGUCGUCAGCUCGUGUCGUGAGAUGUUGGGUUAAGUCCCGCAACGAGCGCAACCCUUAUUAUCAGUUGCCAGCAUUAAGUUGGGCACUCUGGUGAGACUGCCGGUGACAAACCGGAGGAAGGUGGGGAUGACGUCAAAUCAUCAUGCCCCUUAUGACCUGGGCUACACACGUGCUACAAUGGAUGGUACAACGAGUUGCGAACUCGCGAGAGUAAGCUAAUCUCUUAAAGCCAUUCUCAGUUCGGAUUGUAGGCUGCAACUCGCCUACAUGAAGUCGGAAUCGCUAGUAAUCGCGGAUCAGCAUGCCGCGGUGAAUACGUUCCCGGGCCUUGUACACACCGCCCGUCACACCAUGAGAGUUUGUAACACCCAAAGUCGGUGGGGUAACCUUUUAGGAACCAGCCGCCUAAGGUGGGACAG